UUUCGAGUUACUCCGGAACACAGUGUUUAUUCUGUGUUUAGUCACGCCGCGUCAAAAAUGUUCCACAGGGUUACUUCCGGUUUAUCGUUGUUUGUUUACCAACAGUCGACACUUCGUGUAUUAGGCCUAGGCUUAAUUUUGUCGAUCAUCAUGAAAUUGAAAUACACAUUUAAUAGUUUGGGGUGUAUGCGGUACAUAUUUGUUUAUGAGCGUUUGAUAAGCUACUAUUGAUCUACGAAAUACAACGAAAGACUUCGUCAAGAACAGAAGAAGACGAUGCAUGUCGUGUAACUCACACAAGGACCAGCUGUCUAGUAACCGGAGGGGUAAAGGAAAAGAACGUAUUAGACUCACUGAAACCUGUCAAACAGGUAUAUGGGAACAGGAUCAUUUUCCAUGCCUUUCACUUGAGGUCUUCAGUUUCAUCAUUAAUCAUCUGAAUGUCGGUAUGCCAAACUCUCAUGAUGUCAUGCCAUUACUGGAUAUUCCUUAACACUGGUUUAUUUAAGCCACACUACCUAUAACAUUGCCAAAAUAUUAGACUGAAAAUUUUCAAAUACACAAGAUUUGAAGCAGCAAAAGAAAAGAAUUACAUAUGUAUAACACACAAAAAAAGAAGAAAUUAAUUCUCACCUGGCUGAUAUGAACUUUUUACUCCUUUUUAGCUCCCUUUCACUGCAUACCAGCCAAUAACUAGCAGUCAUUAUAUGCAGAUCAGCCAUUGUUAUCAACCUGUGUAUAUAUAUGUUGAAUGAAAUAUGAAUGAAAA